CUGGAGCCCAGCUCGCCCGCAAUGCUGCGCAUGUAACGCGCAGAGGAGCAGAACUGGAUCCUAACCCUGGUCCUUGAAGCCUCCGCAGGUUCGAGCAGCUCCCCGGCUUGAGCGGAGCAGCCCUGCACAGGUGGGGAAACUGAGGCACAGGGCAGUGACCAUCUGCCUCUCCUGAAGCCCUGUGGACCCUUCAUGGUGAGGAAGAGGAGGCAAUGAGGAGCUGAAUUUCUGUGAAUGCUGGGCUGCCCUCACCUCACUGAGCCGAGAGCAGACCGUGGCAGCUGCGUGACGCAGAGCUGUCCUCCUGCCCGGGGAUAAGGAAGCGCACGAAUGUGGGAAGAUGUUCAUCCCGGGUACGUGCUGCAAGCCUGAAUUUCUUCUGCUGGCUCCCUGCUGGUCUCAGUGCCACGUUGCUCUGGGGCAGGAGACCCUCAAAAGUCUCCCGAAGGCAAACACCCCAAUGGGUGUAACGACGGAUGUCUCGCUGUUCUCCCUGCUGAGCGCCUGGUGAAAUGAGGUAGAAACUGCAAAGAAAAGCAAUUGGGAGAGUGGUGGGAGUCAGACCUGCUGCUUCGUGGUGGUAAGAGUGCGCUGCCCGCAGCAAGGCUCGACGCAGAGCAUCUCCAGCUCCCGCGAGGGACAGGGCCGCCCUUUGUGGUGGGCGAGACGAGAGGCGGCCAGAAGCCUGCUGACAGCCGAAGCCGGCCCCGCACGGUGUUGAAAAGCGGAGGGAGGCCGUGCCAGCGCUGGAGAGAGCCCAGCGCAGGGGGGAGUGUGGCCGGGGCAGGUUUGCGCACAAAGGGCCGGCCUGUCUUCACACCUGCAGGGAGGCCGAGCGCUGACAGGUGAGGCGAGGGAUUAAUGCCACUGACAGAGGCGCAUCGCUGGGAGACAGCACAGCAAGGCGCUGCGGAUAGAGGCAAGCAGCACGGUGGCAGGUGACGUGCUUGGUCUCCAGCACACAGCAGGGAAGGCAGCUGGGCGGCAGCAAGAACAGGCAUGGCCUGGGCGCAGUGAGGGGGGACGAGGCCAGGGACCCCGCGGAGGAGGAUGGAGGGGAGCUCAGGCCAUCCCAGCUCAGCUGGGCUGCAGUGUGGACAGGAGCCCAAGCCAGGGCUUGAGUAAAGGCUUGGAGAAGCUCUCAGAAAAGGCUGCUCUGCUAUUUCCACCUUCACUGAAAGCACAGCAGCCCUGGCCCAUCCAUCGUGUCUUUCCCAGAAUCUGCUGAAGACCCAAAUCAGGGAUCUGAUCCUCCUUGUCAGCAUGACUGUGUUUGAACACAUCUUCACUGAGGCAAGGUCCCCUCGGCUGCCUACGUCCUGCCCCGCUUGUGUUUACACCCAGGGUUGGAGGCGAUCCCUUGGCAGGACUGGGGUCCUGCU